GGUGCAUAUGAUGUUUUUUGCGAUCAAAGCAUGAACUACAAUGAUUUCAUCCUUUAACACAACUGAUGCACC